AGGCGAUUGGUUUAGUGGUAUAAUGACCGCUUAGCAUGCGGUAGUUCUAGGGUUUGAUUCCCUGAUUGUCUA
rnacentral:tRNA from 2 species